UUCUCACAAUAGCUAUAAUGUAACACUACUAAACCAAUUUACAUUUACUCGAAAAAAAUACGCCAUGGCGCAUAUCAAGGUUAAAGUUUGAAAAUUAUUACCGGCAAUGAUUUUAAAACAGGUGUUUAACCACAGAAUUUGAAGAUCGUAAAUUUAAUAAAAGGUAUAGAAGGUUGGAGUGCGAAACGAUUUACAGCUUACUAAGAAUAAAAUAUAAUGCCGAAGAAAUAACUAUAAAUGGCGAUAGAUGUAGGGGAUGAAAACAAUUUUAUUUUUAAAAAUGAUACGAAUAAUAUGUUCUGUAUAAUGAAUAAUGUAAAAUGUAUUAGGUAUAUGUAUAAAUCUGCACAAAAGCAACAAAUGUGAUGAUAAUCGGUACAAGUAUAAUUAUGGGCGUCAAUCGAAAGUUCUUGUAUGCAUGGAUUUGGAAAUUGUGUACUCAUGUACAACCCUGUCAAACGACACAACCGUGAUAAGAAAACAUGCAGAGGUGAUCUAUCUGAAAAAAUAAUUUUAUUUUUUUAAUUUGCUUGUAAUAACUUACUAGUUAAUACUCUGUAACGCUUUAUUAUAAAUUCCAACUCUAAAACAAUCUUUAAAAGCUAUUUACUAUGAAAAAAAUAGUAAUUACUUUGGUCUUCAACAACUUUAGGAUUAUCAUUUCCUGUAACAAAUACAUCAAAUCAUUAUGCAGUUAAUAAAACCCGGUGUAUUUAUUUCAUAGAACUUAACAGUUACUCAUACAACUCCAUAUUAAAACUUACCUACACGCCGUCUGAUUUUACUUUCUAGAGAUGUUCCAUUACCUCUUCUCUUUUCUGCAAGGGUUGCCAAAUUUGAUCCUACCAAAUCUACGAAAAUAUUUAUUAUAUGGCUGUGUAG